AGAUUGAAGGCAUUGAUAGGUAAGUAGGAAGCUGGCUGUUUGAUAAUAGAGUGCAAAUAUUGAUUCCCCGUUGUUGAUUUAGCUGAUGAACCGGAGCUGCUCCUCUGUUGAGAUGUAAUUUCCUGGAACACUUGAGAUGUAAAAUCUGUUCAUAAAAAUCAGGCGGUAAUUCAAUCUCCCUUUCUAGGGAUUUGCCUUGUGUUAAAAGGAAAAUCGUUUUACUUGGUUCCUGAAAAUGGCACAAACUGAUGACAAUGAUGCCAAUCCAAAUCAACCAUAUGAAAUAUUACCUAGCUUAAGUCUUUU
rnacentral:misc_RNA from 1 species